rnacentral:lncRNA from 1 species
AGUCCCUCGGUUCUGAAGAAGAGUCGGGGGACUAUCCCUUUAAUGACAUGGACUUAAUCAAGUGAUUGAUCGAUGGCUGCAUCCUGUCCGAAGUCGUCCGGAGGAUUGAUCGCAUUGAUCUCGAACAGUGGGUCUGGGACUCCCUAGGGUCCUUUCUUGAGGUAAACAAAUUCACCUUCCCCCCUCUUUGCUCCUUCAUUUUAUCAAUCUUCCACUUUCAUUCUAACCUCCCAGCCGUCCUUGUAGAUCGGGCACCAGCUCCUUGCC